rnacentral:piRNA from 1 species
GUACAGAAACUUAAAGCGUAGCCUGAUCC